CAGAUAGACGUCUCAACUGUGUGAUGUGGUCAGACAGAUUCAAGAUGUUACGAGUGGGGUCGCCCGAGGAUAUGAGGAGAGUCAUCUCCCGCGGACAUGAACUGGGCUGCCUCCCGCACAGCAUACCAGAGCGUGCCACAUGUUCAGUGGAGCACCAAGCCUCCGCCUGUCCCUCAUGAAAUAUGCAUCACCCAGUGCCGACGGAAAAGCUGUGAUGUCAGAGCUUCCAGUUUCGGUGUCCUGUUUCUGCAUUGCCACAGUGACACAGCAGCUCAGUGAGUGGGGAAAUUCACUUGCUGUGGCAGCUCACAAGGACAGAAGAGGAGUCCUCCUGUGACCUGGUAAUUACCUGCCGGCUGUCGCGCUGGGAAGAGGAAGAGGAAGAAGCGCUCUUGUGAACCGGUGUGGAGGUCUU